GCGAGAGAGGGGCUUCGUGCUCCCGGGGGCUUCGGUCCUCAACUCUUCACCCGAUGCGUACCUACCUUCGUUGCUUUGGCGGGUCUCGAGGGUCCCUCGAGCCGGCCCCGGGCUUCACCGCUCGGGUUCGCGAGCGUUCGCCGAAGGUCCAUUAAACCCUUCUUAUCAGUGACGUCGGAGUACAAUCGAAUUAUAUAAAACUUUCAACAACGGAUCUCUUGGUUCUGGCAUCGAUGAAGAACGCAGCGAAAUGCGAUAAGUAAUGUGAAUUGCAGAAUUCAGUGAAUCAUCGAAUCUUUGAACGCACAUUGCGCCCCUCGGUAUUCCGGGGGGUAUGCCUGUUCGAGCGUCAUUACACCCCUCAAGCCUCGCUUGGUCCUGGGCCUUCGCCCUCGCGGCGGGCUCGAAAAACAGUGGCGGUCCGAGGCGGCCUCAAGCGUAGUAAACUCUCUCGCUUGGGCGCACGUCUCGUGACCGGCCAAAACCCCACGGAUCGAUCGAUCCCUUCAAGAUUGACCUCGGAUCAGGUAGGGAUACCCGCUGAAC
rnacentral:rRNA from 1 species